rnacentral:rRNA from 1 species
UGGGGAAUAUUGGACAAUGGGCGCAAGCCUGAUCCAGCCAUGCCGCGCGAGUGAUGAAGGCCCUAGGGUUGUAAAGCUCUUUCACCGGUGAAGAUAAUGACGGUAACCGGAGAAGAAGCCCCGGCUAACUUCGUGCCAGCAGCCGCGGUAAUACGAAGGGGGAUAGCGUUGUUCGGAUUUACUGGGCGUAAAGCGCACGUAGGCGGACUAUUAAGUCAGGGGUGAAAUCCCGGGGCUCAACCCCGGAACUGCCUUUGAUACUGGUAGUCUUGAGUUCGAGAGAGGUGAGUGGAAUUCCGAGUGUAGAGGUGAAAUUCGUAGAUAUUCGGAGGAACACCAGUGGCGAAGGCGGCUCACUGGCUCGAUACUGACGCUGAGGUGCGAAAGCGUGGGGAGCAAACAGG